UACGAAGGGGGCUAGCGUUGCUCGGAAUCACUGGGCUUAAAGGGCGCGUAGGCGGUCCGACAAGUCAGGGGUGAAAUCCUGCAGCUUAACUGCAGAAGUGCCUUUGAUACUGUCGGUCUCGAGGGAGAUAGGGGUGUGCGGAACUUCCAGUGGAGCGGUGAAAUGCGUUGAUAUUGGAAGGAACGCCGGAGGCGAAAGCGGCGCACUGGAUCUCUUCUGACGCUGAGGCGCGAAAGCUAGGGGAGCAAACGGG
rnacentral:rRNA from 1 species